AGUGAACGCUGGCGGUAGGCCUAACACAUGCAAGUCGAACGGCAGCACAGUAAGAGCUUGCUCUUACGGGUGGCGAGUGGCGGACGGGUGAGGAAUACAUCGGAAUCUACUUUUUCGUGGGGGAUAACGUAGGGAAACUUACGCUAAUACCGCAUACGACCUACGGGUGAAAGCAGGGGAUCUUCGGACCUUGCGCGAUUGAAUGAGCCGAUGUCGGAUUAGCUAGUUGGCGGGGUAAAGGCCCACCAAGGCGACGAUCCGUAGCUGGUCUGAGAGGAUGAUCAGCCACACUGGAACUGAGACACUGUCCAGACUCCUACGGGAGGCCGCAGUGGGGAAUAUUGGACAAUGGGCGCAAGCCUGAUCCAGCCAUACCGCGUGGGUGAAGAAGGCCUUCGGGUUGUAAAGCCCUUUUGUUGGGAAAGAAAAGCAGCAGGUUAAUACCCCGCUGUUCUGACGGUACCCAAAGAAUAAGCACCGGCUAACUUCGUG
rnacentral:rRNA from 1 species